rnacentral:rRNA from 1 species
UACGUAGGGUGCAGGCGUUAAUCGGAAUUACUGGGCGUAAAGCGUGCGCAGGCGGUUUCUUAAGUCAGAUGUGAAAGCCCCGGGCUUAACCUGGGAACUGCGUUUGAAACUGGGAGACUUGAGUGUGGCAGAGGGGGGCGGAAUUCCACGUGUAGCAGUGAAAUGCGUAGAUAUGUGGAGGAACACCGAUGGCGAAGGCAGCCCCCUGGGUUAACACUGACGCUCAUGCACGAAAGCGUGGGGAGCAAACAGG